rnacentral:rRNA from 1 species
GAUGAACGCUGGCGGCGUGCCUAAUACAUGCAAGUCGAGCGAACAGAUGAGGAGCUUGCUCCUUUGACGUUAGCGGCGGACGGGUGAGUAACACGUGGAUAACCUACCUAUAAGACUGGGAUAACUUCGGGAAACCGGAGCUAAUACCGGAUAAUAUAUUGAACCGCAUGGUUCAAUAGUGAAAGACGGUUUUGCUGUCACUUAUAGAUGGAUCCGCGCCGCAUUAGCUAGUUGGUAAGGUAACGGCUUACCAAGGCGACGAUGCGUAGCCGACCUGAGAGGGUGAUCGGCCACACUGGAACUGAGACACGGUCCAGACUCCUACGGGAGGCAGCAGUAGGGAAUCUUCCGCAAUGGGCGAAAGCCUGACGGAGCAACGCCGCGUGAGUGAUGAAGGUCUUCGGAUCGUAAAACUCUGUUAUUAGGGAAGAACAAAUGUGUAAGUAACUAUGCACGUCUUGACGGUACCUAAUCAGAAAGCCACGGCUAACUACGUG